rnacentral:rRNA from 1 species
UGGGGAAUAUUGCACAAUGGGCGCAAGCCUGAUGCAGCCAUGCCGCGUGUGUGAAGAAGGCCUUCGGGUUGUAAAGCACUUUCAGCGAGGAGGAAGGUGGUGAGCUUAAUACGCUCAUCAAUUGACGUUACUCGCAGAAGAAGCACCGGCUAACUCCGUGCCAGCAGCCGCGGUAAUACGGAGGGUGCAAGCGUUAAUCGGAAUUACUGGGCGUAAAGCGCACGCAGGCGGUUUGUUAAGUCAGAUGUGAAAUCCCCGGGCUCAACCUGGGAACUGCAUUUGAAACUGGCAAGCUAGAGUCUCGUAGAGGGGGGUAGAAUUCCAGGUGUAGCGGUGAAAUGCGUAGAGAUCUGGAGGAAUACCGGUGGCGAAGGCGGCCCCCCUGGACGAAGACUGACGCUCAGGUGCGAAAGCGUGGGGCAGCAAACAGGAUUAGAUA